UGGGGAAUAUUGCACAAUGGGCGCAAGCCUGAUGCAGCCAUGCCGCGUGUAUGAAGAAGGCCUUCGGGUUGUAAAGUACUUUCAGCGAGGAGGAAGGCGGUAAGGUUAAUAACCUUAUCGAUUGACGUUACUCGCAGAAGAAGCACCGGCUAACUCCGUGCCAGCAGCCGCGGUAAUACGGAGGGGGCAAGCGUUAAUCGGACUUACUGGGCGUAAAGCGCACGCAGGCGGUCUGUCAAGUCGGAUGUGAAAUCCCCGGGCUCAACCUGGGAACUGCAUUCGAAACUGGCAGGCUAGAGUCUUGUAGAGGGGGGUAGAAUUCCAGGUGUAGCGGUGAAAUGCGUAGAGAUCUGGAGGAAUACCGGUGGCGAAGGCGGCCCCCUGGACAAAGACUGACGCUCAGGUGCGAAAGCGUGGGGAGCAAACA
rnacentral:rRNA from 1 species